UACGUAGGGUGCGAGCGUUAAUCGGAAUUACUGGGCGUAAAGCGUGCGCAGGCGGCUUUGUAAGACAGGCGUGAAAUCCCCGGGCUCAACCUGGGAAUUGCGCUUGUGACUGCAAAGCUGGAGUGCGGCAGAGGGGGAUGGAAUUCCGCGUGUAGCAGUGAAAUGCGUAGAUAUGCGGAGGAACACCGAUGGCGAAGGCAAUCCCCUGGGCCUGCACUGACGCUCAUGCACGAAAGCGUGGGGAGCAAACAGG
rnacentral:rRNA from 1 species